GUGCCAGCAGCCGCGGUAAUACGGAGGGUGCGAGCGUUAAUCGGAAUUACUGGGCGUAAAGCGCAUGCAGGUGGUUUGUUAAGUCAGAUGUGAAAGCCCGGGGCUCAACCUCGGAAUUGCAUUUGAAAACUGGCAAACUAGAGUACUGUAGAGGGGGUAGAAUUUCAGGUGUAGCGGUGAAAUGCGUAGAGAUCUGAAGGAAUACCGGUGGCGAAGGCGGCCCCCUGGACAGAUACUGACACUCAGAUGCGAAAGCGUGGGGAGCAAACAGGAUUAGAUAACCUGGUAG
rnacentral:rRNA from 1 species